GGACGGUGAGUACGCGUGGGUAACCUGCCUCAUACAGGGGAUACAGUUAGAAUGACUGCUAAUACCGCAUAGACGCACAGUGUCACAUGACACAGUGUGAAACCUCCGGGUGGUAUGAGAUGGACCCGCGUCUGAUUAGGUAGUUGGUGAGGUAAUGGCUCACCAAGCCGACGAUCAGUAGCCGACCUGAGAGGGUGACCGGCCACAUUUGGGACUGAGACACGGCCCAAACUCCUACGGGAGGCAGCAGUGGGGAAUAUUGGACAAUGGGGGAAACCCUGAAUGCAGCAACGCCGCGUGAGUGAUGACGGUCUUCGGAUUGUAAAACUCUGUCUUUGGGGACGAUAAUGACGGUACCCAAGGAGGAAGCCACGGCUAACUACGUGCCAGCCGCAGC
rnacentral:rRNA from 1 species